UAUUUUGAUUGCUGUCAUUCUUCUUUACACCCUCCGACUUCCAGUUGCGUCGCCCCUCAAAACCAUCACACAUGUUGUUCAUCCUUUUCCGUUUUCAUCCGGAUAGAUCUUCAUCCACCGCCUCAUCUCUCCAGCUACUAGAAAUUUCCUUUUCAUCUCUUUGCCGCUUCGCUGGUCGCUAUCACCCCUUACCGCCGCUUCGGGUGGGUAGAUGGUAUUACGUUAGAGGAUCGCAUCGAUAGAAAUACCUACGAAGACGAUUCAUCAAAGGCAUAGGUCAUUCGACGGUUGAUUAGGGUUUUUGUUUGACUUCGAACCAUAAGCGCCGAUUUCUCUUCAAAUAACAUGAUUCUCACAUAAAAUAUUGUAACAGUUUAAUAGAUCCAAGCCUACAAAAUUUGUUGCAGCCAUUUGGAAUCAACAAAUCGAGGCCAUAGAAUCUGAAUUUAAUGUCCUUAUGAGGAAGAACAAUGAGACAGUGGACCUGAAAGAUGAAGCCAUUCGAUGAUUCACAAGUAUUAAGGGUGAUAGUAAUACCAGCUGCAAGAACAAAAAGUUCAUUCUCAAACGAUCACAGUGGGAAUCAUACAAAUCGUCUCAUCACUUUAUGGUAUAGGGCACUCUAAAUAUUAUGAAGAUUCAGAUCUGAUUUGUCUUCGAAUAAUUUGAUCAAGGGGCAGGGGCAUAAUUGAAAAGUUGAUGAUCUUUCAAACUUUGCAAGUUUUACUUUCAAUAAGAACACAAACAUCACUACAAAAGGAAUGAGUGUGCAGUAUGUCAGCUUCUGUAUUCUUGCGUUCAUCAAAAGAUAACUCACAUUUAAUGAAGGUUUUAGAGAAUGGACAGUUGUGGGUCCCACCAUCUCCUGGACAUAGAAAAAAUUGGGAAGAAGAAAUACUCACGGAUUGAUGACCAAGGCAAUGGGGGAGAAAACAUCAAUAGCCAAUCUUCACGAACAGGGCAUGCAGGAUAUUUAAAUGCAUAUGUUAGCAAUGAACUUUCAUUGAUUGGUUUAGAGUACUUUUAGAGUUCGUUUAUUAGGAUAUUGUAAUCGUAGGGUUAUUGGUGUCGUAUUGUAACUACACCCGGUGGAUUGACAUUAAGCAGUCUGCAGUGAUUUAGGGAUUGGUUGGUAUGGACAAUUUCAGCUGCUUUCUUAAUGUUGUGGAUGUUUAAAAUAGCAAUGUACUUACUUUCAUUUGUUUAUGGAUGCCUUAUAUUUUGGAUUAUAAUGAACUAACCCAAUCAUUUUUUCCAACAACUCUGAGUUUGGUCAAUAUUUUCUCAUUGAUUUUAGUCUAUAGAAUCUUUAAUAAGGGCAAAACUUUAUAAAAUUCAGAAAGUGCAGGGAAAAAUUUUGUAAUUUACUAAAAAAUUUGCAACUUUUCUUUUGGUGUUCUUUGAAAUUUGUUGUCGUGAUGUUGUUUUAUGACAUGUUUGUGAUGCAUAUAUGUUUUCUACUGCGUUCAUCGAGCCAUUGCCUGUGAUCAACUUUCUAACACAGCUUUUGAAUUGACAUGUUUCUGCAAGACCUUUAUCUGAUGCAGACCGAUUGAAGAUCAAAAAAACAAUGACAAGAUUCAAGGUUGAAGUUACCCACCGUGGAACCAAUUAUAUGCUGCAAUUUUAUUAUUUGGUAAAAAAAUAGCAACAUACCAUAUGUCGUUUUGGUCUUCACAUGAAUAUAUUAUUUCUGCUGCUUGGCAGGUGGCAGCAGAGCAAGUAGAUGUUGCCAUCAUGGAAAUGGAAAGACUGAUGCAACCACAGGGACAAGAAAAAAAAUGUUU